rnacentral:lncRNA from 1 species
UUCUUUGUUGUGGCUGUUGUGGUUGAAUUGGCAUUGAUUGAUUGUUUGAAAAUACAUGAAUGACAGAUGAUACUUGAUGAUGGUGUUGACGGGGUUGCGGAUUCCUUCUAACAUGAGGCCUCCUUUGCCUCCCAACAGAUACUGCAUUGGUCUCGUUCUCUUUCUUUCUGGCAAACCCACUGCCAUACUUCUUGCUAGACGAAAC